rnacentral:rRNA from 1 species
AUUGAACGCUGGCGGCAGGCCUAACACAUGCAAGUCGAACGAGUGGCGGACGGGUGAGUAAUGUCUAGGAAUCUGCCUGGUAGUGGGGGAUAACGUCCGGACACGGGCGCUAAUACCGCAUACUAUCAGAUGAGCCUAGGUCGGAUUAGCUAGUUGGUGGGGUAAAGGCCUACCAAGGCGACGAUCCGUAACUGGUCUGAGAGGAUGAUCAGGCACACUGGAACUGAGACACGGUCCAGAAUCCGACGGGAGGAAGCAGUGGGGAAGAUUGGAAAAUGGGCGAAAGCCUGAUCCAGCCAUGCCGCGUGUGUGAAGAAGGUCUUCGGGUUGUAAAGUACUUGCAGCGGGGAGGCGUUACCCGCAGAAGAAGCACCGGCUAACUCCGUGCCAGCAGCCGCGGUAAUUC